AUGCAUGCUGGGGGGUUACAUACAUUAGUUCUUCUCAAACAUUUGUCCCCUGAAACCUGCUGCUUCCUACAGGCCUCACCAAUUUCUCUACUAGCUGAAACAUUGAUGAAAUUGCAUGAACCCUGCUUAGAUAUAUACUUGGAGAAACUGACCACCGCAAAGGCAGCGUCUGCACCGGAUGAGCGGCCUCGAGAGAUUAUCCAGUGGCUUUCCAGGGUCAGCAGUCUUCAACCCAACAUUCAAUGCCGUCUGUGUCACUUGGCUGUUUUUUCAACCAAACGUCUCGCUCCACAGCAGCUUUGCCUGGUCGUGGUCGGCCUCUCUGCAAAUAAAAUUACUGAUGGUCCAGCAGUCCAAACAUUUAUAGGUCACCACCCUGGACUUGACAUUUGCUUUUGGAGCUGGUUGAGUGUUUGGAGUUAG
rnacentral:rRNA from 1 species